rnacentral:rRNA from 1 species
ACUCCUACGGGAGGCUGCAGUAGGGAAUCUUCCGCAAUGGACGCAAGUCUGACGGAGCAACGCCGCGUGAGUGAUGAAGGUUUUCGGAUCGUAAAGCUCUGUUGCCAGGGACGAAAAGCACUGGGAGUAACUGCCCAGUGUGUGACGGUACCUGAGAAGAAAGCCCCGGCUAACUACGUGCCAGCAGCCGCGGUAAUACGUAGGGGGCAAGCGUUGUCCGGAAUUAUUGGGCGUAAAGCGCGCGCAGGCGGCCAUUUAAGUUUGGUGUAUAAUCCCGGGGCUCAACCCCGGUCCGCAUCGAAAACUGGGUGGCUUGAGUGCGGGAGAGGAAAGUGGAAUUCCAUGUGUAGCGGUGAAAUGCGUAGAUAUGUGGAGGA